rnacentral:rRNA from 1 species
UACGUAGGUGGCAAGCGUUGUUCGGAAUUACUGGGCGUAAAGCGCGUGUAGGCGGCUCUUCAAGUCAGACGUGAAAGCCCCGGGCUUAACUCGGGAACUGCGUUUGAUACUGUCGAGCUAGAGUGUGGAAGGGGCGAUUGGAAUUCCGUGUGUAGCGGUGAAAUGCGUAGAUAUACGGAGGAACACCAGGGGCGAAGGCGGAUCGCUGGGCCAACACUGACGCUGAGACGCGAAAGCGUGGGGAGCGAACAGG